rnacentral:rRNA from 1 species
AGCGAACGCUGGCGGCAGGCUUAACACAUGCAAGUCGAGCGCCCCGCAAGGGGAGCGGCAGACGGGAGAGUAACACGUGGGAACGUACCUUUCAGUACGGAACAACCAAGGGAAACUUUGGCUAAUACCGUAUACGCCCGUAAGGGGAAAGAUUUAUCGCUGAAAGAUCGGCCCGCGUCUGAUUAGCUCGUUGGUGGGGUAAUGGCCCACCAAGGCGACGAUCAGUAGCUGGUCUGAGAGGAUGAUCAGCCUCACUGGGACUGGGACACGGCCCAGACUCCUACGGGAGGCAGCAGUGGGGAAUAUUGGACAAUGGGGGAAACCCUGAUCCAGCCAUGCCGCGUGAGUGAUGAAGGCCUUAGGGUUGUAAAGCUCUUUCGUCAGGGAAGAUAAUGACGGUACCUGAAGAAGAAGCCCCGGCUAACUUCGUGCCAGCCGCCGCCGUAAAAC